rnacentral:misc_RNA from 1 species
AACGCACGAGACCUGCGGACCUGCGGAGGGAUCAUUACCGAGUUUUCUCAACUCUCUAACCCGAUGCGAACAAUACCUGAUGUUGCUUCGGCGGUGCGGCCCCGGGCCUCGAGAGGCCCGGAACCAGGUCCCCGCCGGAGGCCCUAAAGACGCUGUUUCCAUAACGAGUGUAACUCUGAGUUGGCCCUCGCGGCCUGAUGCAGAAAAUGAAUCAAAACUUUCAACAAUGGAUCUCUAGAU